rnacentral:misc_RNA from 1 species
GAUGAAGAACGUAGCGAAAUGCGAUAAGUAGUGUGAAUUGCAGAAUUCAGUGAAUCAUCGAAUCUUUGAACGCACAUUGCGCCUUCUAGUAUUCUGGGAGGCAUGCCUGUUUGAGCGUCAUUAAACCUCUCUCAAGUAUGAUUACUUGGAUGUGAAGGAAGAGUACCUUAAACUUAAGGAGUGUUCUCCUUUGAAAUUGAUUAGCAGAUGGUAAUGUUAUUAAAUCCCUGAUGUUGUAAGAAAUAACAGUGGUUUUGUAGACUAUUAUCUAGCUUUAAAUUAUAAUUUUUAUUAUGGUUGACCUCAAAUCAGGUAAGGAUAUCCGCUGAACUUAAGCAUAUCAAUAAGCGGAGGA